CAAGAUUUUCUGCUCAUCGUACAUCUAGAUAUAUAUUUUUGCCCACAACUCCCAUAUCAUUCAACCAGUUUCAAAAGCUUUCAACCGAUUUCAUAUUUUGACAGAGAGUGCAGAGAGAGAAAAGAAAUUGAAAGAGAGAGAGAGUUGGAGAGACGAAUCGAAUGGAAGGCAAAAUCAGUGCGGCGACGGCUCCGUGCGGGCAGCAGCGACCAUGGCGAUUAAAACGGCCUCGACACUUCAACGGGGCUGGUCCACUGCACUUCAACGAAGUGAUUCACGGAGAUGCAGCGACACUAAUUAGUUGAGGUAGAAGAGUCGUAGAGAGAGAGCCAAUAGCGGCUGCAGCGGGAUGGCAACGAUCCAAUAGCGGUGGCGGUGAUUCGGAAAUAUCAGCAGCGGCGGCAGGAUAGCGAACAGCAACACGUCGGAGUGGAGCUGGCAGCGAGCGGCAGCUCCGUGACGAUGGCUGCACGGUGGACAUCGGCUGUCUCGAUCUGGAGCAGCAGCGGCUGACCCGGCAGUGGCCACGCCGACAGCAUUUUGACAGCAGCGGCGCUGUGGCGGAGAUGAGGGAAAGAUAGGGCGGAGAUGGCGACGGCAACGCUCAACGUAGAGGACAGCAGCAGCGCUGCACGCGGCUGUGCAGAGAGAAACGAGGCAGUGGUGCCAUGACAGAGAUGAGAAAGAAAGAGAGAGCUGGAAGAAAGAAGAAAGGAAAAGAAUUUGGAAACUUCAAAUCCCAUCUUUGGAUUUCACGUGAGGUGAGAAAAAGUUGAAGAAACUAUGCGACUUGUUUAUUUAAAUGUUUCUGUGAAUUAGUUUAUAGAUAUGGGCCUUUUGUUUUUAGUAAAGGAAAUGAUUGCAGUUAAUCUAGUGGAGUACAUUAAAUCAAUGGCCGCCUUCAUACACGUGUUUCGAGAAUGCGAUGGAACACAUGAUAAGAUUUUAUGCGAGAGGUUGAGCUGUGACGAACGCAGUGGGUGUUGAGCAUAAAAGUAAAGAAUGUCUAUCAAAUAUUCAGAAUUGUGUCUUCAUACAUAGCAUUAUUCUACUCUCGAAAUGCUUCCGCUGAGUUGUUGUCUUUCUUUUGAGUUCAUGUAUUGAUGAGAUACUAUUCCUAUUGAUUUUGAUUAUUGGUGAGAUGAUAUUCUGAUUUUAUUCGAGCCAUUCCUAUUA